rnacentral:rRNA from 1 species
AUUGAACGCUGGCGGCAGGCCUAACACAUGCAAGUCGAACGAGUGGCGGACGGGUGAGUAAUGUCUGGGAAACUGCCCGAUGGAGGGGGAUAACUACUGGAAACGGUAGCUAAUACCGCAUACCAUCGGAUGUGCCCAGAUGGGAUUAGCUAGUAGGUGGGGUAACGGCGCACCUAGGCGACGCUCCCUAGCUGGUCUGAGCGGAGGACCAGCCACACUGGAACGGAGACACGGUCCAGACUCCUACGGGAGGCAGCGGUGGGGAAUAUUGCACAAUGGGCGCAAGGCUGGUGUGGCCAUGCCGAGUGUAGGAAGGAGGCCUUCGGGUUGUAAAGUAAAAUCAGCGAGGAGGCGGUACUCGCAGAAGAAGCACCGGCUAACUCCGUGCCAGCAGCCGCGGUAAUAC